CCCUUAGAUGCUCUGGGCCGCACGCGCGCUACACUGGUCGAUGCAACGAGUUUCUUUCCUUGGCCGACAGGCCUGGGCAAUCUUUGAACAUCGAUCGUGAUCGGGAUAGAUUCUUGUAAUUUUUGAUCUUAAACGAGGAAUUCCUAGUAAACGCAAGUCAUCAGCUUGCAUUGAUUACGUCCCUGCCCUUUGUACACACCGCCCGUCGCACCUACCGAUUGAAUGGUCCGGUGAAAUCUCCGGACUGGCGUGAGUCGGAGCAAUCUGACAAACGCCGGAAAGUUGAUUGAACCUUACCAUUUAGAGGAAGGUGAAGUCGUAACA
rnacentral:rRNA from 1 species